rnacentral:rRNA from 1 species
GACGAACGCUGGCGGCGUGCUUAACACAUGCAAGUCGAACGGAAAGGCCCUGCUUUUGUGGGGUGCUCGAGUGGCGAACGGGUGAGUAACACGUGAGUAACCUGCCCUUGACUUUGGGAUAACUUCAGGAAACUGGGGCUAAUACCGGAUAGGAGCUCCUGCUGCAUGGUGGGGGUUGGAAAGUUUCGGUGGUUGGGGAUGGACUCGCGGCUUAUCAGCUUGUUGGUGGGGUAGUGGCUUACCAAGGCUUUGACGGGUAGCCGGCCUGAGAGGGUGACCGGCCACAUUGGGACUGAGAUACGGCCCAGACUCCUACGGGAGGCAGCAGUGGGGAAUAUUGCACAAUGGGCGGAAGCCUGAUGCAGCAACGCCGCGUGAAUGAUGAAGGUCUUAGGAUUGUAAAAUUCUUUCACCGGGGACGAUAAUGACGGUACCCGGAGAAGAAGCCCCGGCUAACUUCGUG